UUGAAGAGUUUGAUCAUGGCUCAGAUUGAACGCUGGCGGCAGGCCUAACACAUGCAAGUCGAACGGUAACAUUUCUAGCUUGCUAGAAGAUGACGAGCGGCGGACGGGUGAGUAAUGCUUGGGAACAUGCCUUUAGGUGGGGGACAACCAUUGGAAACGAUGGCUAAUACCGCAUAAUGUCUACGGACCAAAGGGGGCUUCGGCUCUCGCCUUUAGAUUGGCCCAAGUGGGAUUAGGUAGUUGGUGAGGUAAUGGCUCACCAAGGCUACGAUCUUUAGCUGGUCUGAGAGGAUGAUCAGCCACACCGGGACUGAGACACGGCCCGGACUCCUACGGGAGGCAGCAGUGGGGAAA
rnacentral:rRNA from 14 species